CCCUCCUUAGACCUGCUGUUGUUUUAAUUCAAUGAGGUGUCUCAGAAGGACAAGGCUCAGGACUCUUCUCUCCCCAGGACACUGAGCCUCAGCGUUGAUACGGCUCAGCUUGGGUGGCUCAGCUUGGGUGGCUUGCGACCACAUGGACUGUAGCCCACCAGGUUCCUCUGUCCGAUUUCCCAGGCAAGAUUAUUGCAGUGGGUUGCCAUUUCCUUCUCCCGGGGAAUCUUCCUGACCCAGGAAUCAAACUCAGGUCUCCUAUGUUGCAGGAGGCUGCGAUUCAUGGGGUCGCAAAGAGUCGGACACUACUGAGCGACUGAUCUGAUCUGAUCCUGAGCAACCAUUCCUGAGGUUAAGUACUCAGGAAAACAACGGGUAAUGUAAGAGUAAUUCAGAUGAUUGCCUUGUGGCACAAAUAUGAAGGCUAAUAGCCGUACACAAUUAUUUGCCCAUGUUGGAAAACAUGCCCUGUGACUUUGCUCUCUUAGACAGAAUCACAGUUCCUUUAUUGAACAGCAAACCCUAAGAGGUGGUACUUGAUACAAUAAUGAAUACUCUGCAUGAAUAACUUAAGAAAAGUCAUUUUGCCUGCAGUGCUACUUUCCAAGUAUGUGGAGGCAGGAAUGAAUCCAAGGUCCCUGGAGGAAGCAAGGUUGGUAAGUAAAGAAGAUUUAUUCUUCACAGAAUAUGGGAGGUUCUCACUGCUGUUUCAAGAUUGCCACCAUCACACCAAGUUUUCAGGAAGAGAGGAGGCAAAGGAAUUUGGAGAUUGCUUCUUUUAGAAUUCUGACCACCUGUGAGUACGUGUGUGUGUGUGUGUGUGUAUGUGAUCUUGGCUAAUUACUUCACUUUUCUCAUCCAUCAAACAGGUGUAGCAAUGCCUACCUCAAAGGGUUGUGCUCAGGAUGAAGUGAGUUGAUACGCUUAAAGCCCUUAGAAUAGCAUCUAUCAGAGUGACUUUUUUUAUAGUUCAUGGGCCAGAAGUAGCAGAGACAGUCUGAGACUCUCUGAGUACCAACCAUGAUUGCUGGGGCGAGGAAUA
ensembl:lncRNA